AAAAACAUGUCUUUUUGAGUUUAAUUUAAAGUCCAAUCUGCCCACUGAUUAAAAAUUAAAGGGCUGCAGUAAUUUGACUGUACAAAGGUAGCAUAAUCAUUAGUCUUUUAAUUGAAGACUUGUAUGAAAGAUUUGAUGAAAUAUAUACUGUCUCUUAUUUAUAAUUAAAAUUUAAUUUUUUAGUUAAAAAGCUAAAAUAAAUUUAAAAGACGAGAAGACCCUAUAGAGUUUUAUAAUUUAUUAUUUAAAAUAUUUAUAUAAAAUUUUAAUAUUUAAUAUUUUAAAUUAUUUUAUUGGGGUGAUAAAAAAAUUUAAAAAACUUUUUUUUAAAAUUAACAUUAAUAAUUGAAUUUUUGAUCCUGAUUAAAGAUUAUAAGAAAAAAUUACCUUAGGGAUAACAGCGUAAUAUUUUUUUUUAGUACAAAUAAAAAAAAAAGUUUGCGACCUCGAUGUUGGAUUAAGAUAAAAUUUAAAUGCAAAAGUUAAAA
rnacentral:rRNA from 1 species